rnacentral:rRNA from 1 species
CCUACGGGAGGCAGCAGUGGGGAAUAUUGCACAAUGGGGGAAACCCUGAUGCAGCGACGCCGCGUGGGUGACGAAGUAUUUCGGUAUGUAAAGCCCUAUCAACAGGGAAGAAGAUGACAGUACCUGACUAAGAAGCCCCGGCUAACUACGUGCCAGCAGCCGCGGUAAUACGUAGGGGGCAAGCGUUAUCCGGAAUCCCUGGGUGUAAAGGGAGCGUAGACGGCUGUAGAAGUCUGAAGUGAAAGGCGGGGGCCCAACCCCUGGACUGCUUGGGGAACUGUACGGCUGGAGUGCAGGAGAGGUAAGUGGAAUUCCUAGGGUAGCGGGGAAAUGCGUAGAUAUUAGGAGGAACACCAGUGGCGAAGGCGGCCUGCUGGACUGCAACUGACGUUGAGGCCCGAAAGCGUGGGGAGCAAACAGGAUUAGAUACCCGGGUAGUC